CCAGACUCCUACGGGAGGCAGCAGUGGGGAAUAUUGCACAAUGGGGGAAACCCUGAUGCAGCGACGCCGCGUGAAGGACGAAGUAUUUCGGUACGUAAACUUCUGUCAGCAGGGAAGAAAAUGACGGUACCUGACCAAGAAGCCCCGGCUAACUACGUGCCAGCAGCCGCGGUAAUACGUAGGGGGCAAGCGUUAUCCGGAUUUACUGGGUGUAAAGGGAGCGUAGACGGCCAUGCAAGUCUGAUGUGAAAACCCGGGGCUCAACCCCGGGACUGCAUUAGAAACUGUGCGGCUGGAGUGUCGGAGAGGCAAGUGGAAUUCCUAGUGUAGCGGUGAAAUGCGUAGAUAUUAGGAGGAACACCAGUGGCGAGGGCGGCUUGCUGGACGACGACUGACGUUGAGGCUCGAAAGCGUGGGGAGCAAACAGGAUUAGAUACCCCCGUAA
rnacentral:rRNA from 1 species